rnacentral:rRNA from 1 species
GACGAACGCUGGCGGCGUGCUUAACACAUGCAAGUCGAACGGAAAGGCCCUGCUUUUGUGGGGUUCUCGAGUGGCGAACGGGUGAGUAACACGUGAGUAACCUGCCCUUGACUUUGGGAUAACUUCAGGAAACUGGGGCUAAUACCGGAUAGGAGCUCCUGUUCCAUGGUGGGGGUUGGAAAGUUUCGGCGGUCGGGGAUGGACGGGCGGGUUAUCAGCUUGUUGGUGGGGUAGUGGUUUACCAAGGCAUUGACGGGUAGCCGGCAUGGGAGGGUGACCGGCCACAUUGGGACUGAGAUACGGACCAGAGUCCUACGGGAGGCAGCAGUGGGGAAUAUUGCACAAUGGGCGGAAGCCUGAGGCAGAGACGCCGCGGGCGGGAUGACGGCCUUCGGGUUGUAAACCGCUUUAGCCUGUGACGAAGCGGGAGUGACGGUAAUGGGUAAAGAAGCACCGGCUAACUACGUG